UACGGAGGGUGCAAGCGUUAUCCGGAUUCACUGGGCUUAAAGGGUGCGUAGGUGGGUCUGUAAGUCAGUGGUGAAAUCUCCGGGCUUAACCCGGAAACUGCCAUUGAUACUAUAGGUCUUGAAUUAUCCGGAGGUAAGCGGAAUAUGUCAUGUAGCGGUGAAAUGCUUAGAUAUGACAUAGAACACCAAUUGCGAAGGCAGCUUACUACGGAUCGAUUGACACUGAGGCACGAAAGCGUGGGGAUCAAACAGG
rnacentral:rRNA from 1 species